GACGAACGCUGGCGGCGUGCCUAAUACAUGCAAGUUGAGCGCUGAAGGUUGGUACUUGUCCCGACUGGAUGAGCAGCGAACGGGUGAGUAACGCGUGGGGAAUCUGCCUUUGAGCGGGGGACAACAUUUGGAAACGAAUGCUAAUACCGCAUAAAAACUUUAAACACAAGUUUUAAGUUUGAAAGAUGCAAUUGCAUCACUCAAAGAUGAUCCCGCGUUGUAUUAGCUAGUUGGUGAGGUAAAGGCUCACCAAGGCGAUGAUACAUAGCCGACCUGAGAGGGUGAUCGGCCACAUUGGGACUGAGACACGGCCCAAACUCCUACGGGAGGCAGCAGGAGGGAAUCUUCGGCAAUGGACGAAAGUCUGACCGAGCAACGCCGCGUGAGUGAAGAAGGGUUUCGGAUCGUAAAACUCUGUUGGUAGAGAAGAACGUUGGUGAGAGUGGAAAGCUCAUCAAGUGACGGUAACUACCCAGAAAGGGACGGCUAACUACGUG
rnacentral:rRNA from 1 species